AGUGAACGUUGGCGGCGUGGAUUAGGCAUGCAAGUCGAGCGAGAACCGUAGCAAUACGGGGACAGCGGCGAAAGGGACAGUAAUGUGUAGGUACCUACCCCGAGGUCCGGGAUAGCUGCGGGAAACUGCAGGUAAUACCGGAUAAUGUCUUCGGACCAAAGGUGUGAUUCCACCUUGGGAGGGGCCUGCAUCCUAUUAGCUAGUUGGCGGGGUAAUGGCCCACCAAGGCAACGAUGGGUAGCGGGUGUGAGAGCACGACCCGCGUCAUUGGGACUGAGACACUGCCCAGACACCUACGGGUGGCUGCAGUCGAGGAUCUUCGGCAAUGGGCGCAAGCCUGACCGAGCGACGCCGCGUGCGGGAUGAAGGCCUUCGGGUUGUAAACCGCUGUCGUAGGGGAGGAAAUGCAGGGGGGUUCUCCCCUCUGUUUGACCUAUUCUAGGAGGAAGGACGGGCUAAGUUCGUGCCAGCAGCCGCGGUAA
rnacentral:rRNA from 1 species